UACGGAGGGUGCAAGCGUUAUCCGGAUUCACUGGGUUUAAAGGGUGCGUAGGCGGGCAUGUAAGUCAGUGGUGAAAUCUCAAAGCUUAACUUUGAAACUGCCAUUGAUACUAUGUGUCUUGAAUUUCCUGGAGGUUAGCGGAAUAUGUCAUGUAGCGGUGAAAUGCUUAGAUAUGACAUAGAACACCGAUUGCGAAGGCAGCUGACUAUAGGUAGAUUGACGCUGAUGCACGAAAGCGUGGGGAUCAAACAGG
rnacentral:rRNA from 1 species